rnacentral:rRNA from 1 species
AUUGAACGCUGGCGGCAGGCCUAACACAUGCAAGUCGAGCGGAUGAAGGGAGCUUGCUCCUGGAUUCAGCGGCGGACGGGUGAGUAAUGCCUAGGAAUCUGCCUGGUAGUGGGGGAUAACGUCCGGAAACGGGCGCUAAUACCGCAUACGUCCUGAGGGAGAAAGUGGGGGAUCUUCGGACCUCACGCUAUCAGAUGAGCCUAGGUCGGAUUAGCUAGUUGGUGGGGUAAAGGCCUACCAAGGCGACGAUCCGUAACUGGUCUGAGAGGAUGAUCAGUCACACUGGAACUGAGACACGGUCCAGACUCCUACGGGAGGCAGCAGUGGGGAAUAUUGGACAAUGGGCGAAAGCCUUAUCCAGCCAUGCCGCGUGUGUGAAGAAGGUCUUCGGAUUGUAAAGCACUUUAAGUUGGGAGGAAGGGCAGUAAGUUAAUACCUUGCUGUUUUGACGUUACCAACAGAAUAAGCACCGGCUAACUUCAUG